ACGAACGCUGGCGGCAGGCUUAACACAUGCAAGUCGAACGGAUGUAGCAAUACAUCAGUGGCAGACGGGUGAGUAACACGUGGGAACCUUCCUCGUUGUACGGGACAACUCAGGGAAACUUGAGCUAAUACCGUAUACGUCCGAGAGGAGAAAGAUUUAUCGCAAUGAGACGGGCCCGCGUCGGAUUAGCUAGUUGGUGGGGUAACGGCCUACCAAGGCGACGAUCCGUAGCUGAUCUGAGAGGAUGAUCAGCCACACUGGGACUGAGACACGGCCCAGACUCCUACGGGAGGCAGCAGUGGGGAAUCUUGGACAAUGGGCGCAAGCCUGAUCCAGCCAUGCCGCGUGAGUGAAGAAGGCCUUAGGGUUGUAAAGCUCUUUUGCCAGGGACGAUAAUGACGGUACCUGGAGAAUAAGCCCCGGCAAACUUCGUGCCAGCCGCCGCGGUAAU
rnacentral:rRNA from 1 species